AUAUUUCUCCACACCUGUAAAACUAUAAAAAUAGGAGUACAAUUAAGAAAAUUCAAGGUUAGUUUACAUAUUUAAUAAUAACAAUAACUAUAUUAGCAAGUAAAUAAAAUUAAAAUUUAUUGAUGAAGAAAUAAGAGAACACAAUUUCAGAAACAAAAUAUCAUCCACUCAAAGUAAAUAUGAGUGGUAGUUUUGAGAGAAUUGGGAAAGAAAGGAGAGGAAAAGACUUGCAAGAAAUAGUCAGGAGCUAUACAUAAUUCAAAUAUCUACCUAAAAUCGGAGAGGGAUAAGAAGAAAGGAAUAAAGAACAAUUUAUUCUCUACCAUUUAGGUUAUGGAAAAAAAUGAAAAAUCUAAGAAAAUGAAUGUUCAUCUCAGUAAAUAAAAUAAAAGGUGUUUUAUGGAGAGCAUAAUCCAUUAGGGAAGAGAAAAUAUGAGAAAAAUUAAUCUCUUCAAACAUCUGU
rnacentral:misc_RNA from 1 species